UGUGUAGGCGGUUUUCUAAGUUUGGUGUGAAAUCUCCCGGCUCAACCGGGAGGGUGCGCCGAAAACUGGGAGACUAGAGUGCGGGAUGGGAGAGUAGAAUUCCUGGUGUAGCGGUGAAAUGCGUAGAUAUCAGGAGGAAUACCGGUGGUGCAGACGGCUCUCUGGACCGCAACUGACGCUGAGACACGAAAGCGUGGGUAGCAAACA
rnacentral:rRNA from 1 species